UUUGAAGGAGACAGGGUUGUUAUGUUGGAGGACUUUAAAAUGCAUGGCAGUGGUUAAAGCAGAUUGGACCAAAGACAAUCUAACUAAACUAGAGAGAGUCAUGCUAUACUGUAGCUGCAGGCCACUUUAUUUCUCUAUCUCCCUGUUUUUGUGACACAAUAGUCAGUUUGAGGUGCUUGAGGAUUCCUGUGGUUAACAAAAAAUCAGAGAGGAGAAGCUGUGCAGAAGUUCUCUCCAGGCUCGGGGAUGUUGAAAUUUUCCACCUGUAACUCAGGCAACAAACUUCUAAUUAUUCAUGAAAUGUAGCUCUGUUUUGUCACGCAAGGCUGGGGACAACCUGACAAAUGUGGGUCAUAGAAAAACAUAUUUUUUUGGACUAAAGUUACAUUUGCAAAACAGGUGUACACCUCACACCUAGCUGUAAUGCUAAAUUACUCUUUUAUAGUUUGUUAAUGACUUGUAAAUACCAAAGUAAGUGUGGAACAAGCCCCAAAUGGUUGCUUGCUCUGAAACCGUUGCUUUAUUAGAGUUUUGGUCAUUAGCAAGGAUUGUGAAUGUACUGAAAAGUGCAUAAGUCCUUCUGAUACCAGCUCAGUCAGAUCAGUUGACAUCUUUUAUUGACUGCAGCUCUGCCUUCCUCCUAAAAAUCAUGCUGGUUUAAUUACAAGUUGAGCCUAAACUGUAAGUAGAAUCCUGAUUUCACUUUUUGCUCCAAUGAGGAUGUAUUGGGCAACAACUACACACUUAAAAUUCCUCACCAGGUUUCAGUUACACUGAUCUAAUCCCUUAAAUAUUAGACGGUGAAACACAGCCACAUGUGGCGCUUACUCUAGAGUCACUAGGCUGACUUGAGAAUGACAUUUUCAAACAAUAACCUCUGCUUAUGGUCCUCAGAGACUGUAUACAGCACCUUAAAAAGGCAAUGUAUAAAUAAAGUUAUAAAGUAAAUCUAAUACGCGGAAGCAUCGUGAACUUGUAAUUUGGAAAAAUAACCUUAUAAUUGCUAUCUGGUAGGAUGAAUGGUAUAUGCAGGUAUAGCAGAUUAUAGCCACUUCUUUUUCAAUGAGUGCACCUAUUUCCUAAGUAUCACUGAAGCAUAUUCCUCUUUCAACAUGUCAUUAAACAUAUGCAUAAGCUCUUAAAGGUUCUCCUGUACCAAAGACUUGGAGGUACAUGUACAAUAACAAAAGUAUAGGACGGAGACAGGAGAGACCUUUCACACAGUGACAUGGAUUUCAAAUCAAGCUUAAUUGGGCUUUUGAGAUUUAUUUCUUUCUUGAUCACAUUACUUCCUUUUUAAAUCUCUCUGUACACAAAUCACAUCAUUACACACCUUUUAGCUCAUAAAACAUUUUAUUAUAAAACUCACCCUCCCACAUGGAAGACACUGCUCUGAAGUGUUUGCUCCCCACAAGAUGAGAUGAAUACUAAAUCACGUCAGGUUUUGUGGACAAAAUCUGAGCUACGUUUAUGUGUUUAUAGUGUAUUAAAUGCAAGUGACCGCAGGCACCGGCUUAUUUUACUGCAUAUAAUUGUAAAAUAUAUACACAUUUUUCAUAUUCUAGCUUCAUAAUUUAACAUUUAUCAACAUUUUUCAAGACUUCAUAACAAAACAAAAAGAUUAGUUUUGACACAAUUUCAAGUGGCGAAGACACAGAUUGGCAGCUUCGUUACAAGAGAGCAAUACUAACAAAAACAAUGUUUUUACUUUCCCUUUUUUUUUUUUUUUGCUAAACAGCUUAAUGUGGAGCAGUGGAAGAAAGACCGCUGGUUUGAGUCCCUGGACUGGAUCUGUGUGGACCCUCAAACAGGUCUGCCCCCACUGAGAACCAGUGCCAGUUUUGCACAAACUCCACAAAACCAGAUGGAUGCCCGACCUGAGAUCAGUUCAACACAGUAUGACAGAUAGCAGUUCAGUAUCCAAAACAUGCACAGAGUUGGCAUUAGACCUACAGUACACAUAGUAUAUAACCAGGUGGACAAAAUAACAGAAACAUAUAUAAUAUAUCACAACACUGCAAAAUAACAAUUAAUAAAAUUCUGUCUUCCACUCUCAACAUAAUUGUCCCACAGUAGUGUUUUUAUAGGGCUGUACUGUAUUAUUUUGUUUCUUCUGUAUCCACCUGUAUACAUACAUACACUCAGCUGCCACUUUAUUAUGUAGUCUACACAUGUACAAUCUAUUGAAACUUAAUACAACGGUUCUGCCAUAAAUUCUGUCUCUGAAGUUAA